UGUGCUUUUGUAAAAUAAACUGUAUUGAUUCAAUUUAUAUAUUUAGUACAAUGGUUUUGCUCACAUCACAAAUAUCUAACAACAAGAGUGAUUACUGAAAGCAUAAAAUAUAUUUCAAUUUCUAGGCCGCUACAUUAUUUUGAAACAUGAGCUUUUUUAAAACUGAGUGUUUGACGUAGCUUGUUGUUAUUGUCAAAAUGAAAUAGCGAGUAUAUAUUUGUUGCUUUUUGUUUAGGAAAGUGAAAAAAACAAGAUGCCGUUUGUAUGCCAGGAAUGGCAUAUGUGAACGACUCAAGUGGUAGUUUUUAGGGUAGGGGCAAGGGGCAUUUUUUAUAAACUGCCAUGGCAGUUCUUUAAUUUAGUGCAAUUUUUUGAGAAACAGCCAUCCACAGGAUCUUGAUUGUGCGGUUCUGUGUGUGUUCACUGGGACCUCAUCACCAGCGAACGUUCGCCGGGUAUUGUUCAACAUGGCUCUAAUGAUUCAAUCAAAUUUCAUUGCAAAGUAUACUGGACCAGGCUUUCCUUCUUUCUAAUGCGGUGUUAGUUGGCAUUAAGUUGUGAAAUCCAAAUCCAUACAUUUACAGUUCUUGUUGUUCUAAUUACACAAGUAUUUUCACUUUUUUUUGUUAACUAAUCUUCACACCGAACACCAUCUCAGUAACCAGACCUGAUAUAGUACUUAGUUUUGGCAUUAGACACAACAACUUUGACAUUGAUAAUUUCCUCAUAUAUUUAGUAGGACAAUAAACUUGUCUAGCAUUUCAUUAUGAGUUGCAGGCUCUGAAAAUAAAUGUAUGUGCCCCCUAAAUGAUUAAACGUGUGGUUUUGGAAUUAUGCAUGCUGACAUGCAUUGGCAAUCAUUAUUCAACAGUAUUCCUUUUCACUGAAAUAUAACCAUGUAAUGCUUACGAUUUAAUCUGGUUAUCUAGACAACUAAAUGGGUUAAUGUUAUGCUUAGUAUCUUUUGGCAUAUGUAAUGCAUGGAAGGAAACCAGUGUCUUUUGAUAGGGAUUUCUGGAGGUAACACGCCUCUGACUGUAUGCACUGAAUUUCAGAUGCUCUGUUUAGAAGAUGUCUUCUUCAGUAGUACUACAUAUUUUUAUGAUUUCCUGUAACUUGCUGAUAUGGCACUGGUUUGCCGCAUGGUGUGCUACAACUACACUCCAGGGGAAUAUUUGUUCAGAAUCUUCAGUCUUGUAAUUUUCUCCUUGAUGACAAUGACCAUGCUGAGCUGGGGGAUUUGGGAUUCCAUCCUUGCUGUUUGGACUUCCGCUGCCAAAUCCAGAUCUUAUCCAAAGACUUGGGACUCCAAAUUACAUGCCCCAGAACAUUGGCGACCAAACAUCAGAGGCCCAAUUAGUUACGAGACUGACUCGUUGGGGUUUCGCUUGGAGCAUUCUUGAGAUGUUCAGUGGCGUUCAGACUUGGUGUGCCAAAUCACCAGAUGAGAUUUAUCAGUCAGUUGUCCUGAAGAAAGAGAAACCGAUGUUCCUGUACAAUUUACCUACGGAGGUCGCUAAUGUCCUCUCUGGCUGCUAUGAGUAUGAAUUUCGGGAUCACUCCUUGAUGUUAGAUAUCUUACAGUCAUUUGAAAUGUUGGAGGUGACACAUGAACGCUGGCAACGCAAAAUAGCAGAUAUAAAAUAACUGCAGCUCAGGCCAUGUAGUUCUACAACAACCAAGGAAGAAGUCCGUUUUUUAAGCCGACCUUGGCCAAGCAUUUAAGCUUAUAUGGUUGCUCUCUAUUUUUCAGAGGUGCGUGUACUGAGGACGCCCAUGAUUUGGGGCCAAAAAUCUAGACAAAGUGACAAAACUUUGUACGAGACUUACUUGAAGCCAAGGAGGUCAGGGGAGGAGGACAACAAGGCUGGGGAGCGGAGGCGGAGACCGACGGGGAAGAGAAUGACCAAGCAUGUAAAUCUAGAGCACAAGCUCGUGAUUUAUCAAGGGAGUGGCGCUGCCGCCGGAUUAGAAAAUCAUAUCUCACGUUAAGGUGUUUUUGUCUUUUGUUUCUGUACAAAUUUGGUGCAGGCAAGUUUUUGAUGAUAUAUA